rnacentral:rRNA from 1 species
GUGGGUAGUUUGACUGGGGCGGUCUCCUCCUAAAGAGUAACGGAGGAGCACGAAGGUUGGCUAAUCCUGGUCGGACAUCAGGAGGUUAGUGCAAUGGCAUAAGCCAGCUUGACUGCGAGCGUGACGGCGCGAGCAGGUGCGAAAGCAGGUCAUAGUGAUCCGGUGGUUCUGAAUGGAAGGGCCAUCGCUCAACGGAUAAAAGGUACUCCGGGGAUAACAGGCUGAUACCGCCCAAGAGUUCAUAUCGACGGCGGUGUUUGGCACCUCGAUGUCGGCUCAUCACAUCCUGGGGCUGAAGUAGGUCCCAAGGGUAUGGCUGUUCGCCAUUUAAAGUGGUACGCGAGCUGGGUUUAGAACGUCGUGAGACAGUUCGGUCCCUAUCUGCCGUGGGCGCUGGAGAAUUGAGGGGGGCUGCUCCUAGUACGAGAGGACCGGAGUGGACGCAUCACUGGUGUUCGGGUUGUCAUGCCAAUGGCACUGCCCGGUAGCUAAAUGCGGAAAAGAUAAGUGCUGAAAGCAUCUAAGCACGAAACUUGCCCCGAGAUGAGUUCUCCCUGAGACUA